UCUCCUCCGAUCUCCGAAGUUAAGCAUCAUUGGGUCUGAUGAAUACCUAGAUGGGUGACCAUAUGAGAAUACCAGGUGCU